UCCCCGUUAGCUCAACCGGCAGAGCGGGUGGCUGUUAACCACUAGGUUGUAGGUUCGAGUCCUACACGGGGAGCCA
rnacentral:tRNA from 2 species